GCCAACACUGGGACUGAGAUACUGCCCAGACUCUUACGGGAGGCUGCAGUCGAGAAUCAUUCGCAAUGGGCGAAAGCCUGACGAUGCGACGCUGCGUGAGUGAUGAAGGCCUUCGGGUCGUAAAGCUCUUUCGCCAGAGAACAAGAAAUGCCGGCUAAUAACCGGCAAAUUUGAGUGUACCUGGUAAAGAAGCACCGGCUAACUCCA
rnacentral:rRNA from 1 species